rnacentral:rRNA from 1 species
UGAGGAAUAUUGGUCAAUGGAGGAAACUCUGAACCAGCCAAGUCGCGUGAAGGAUGACGGUCCUAUGGAUUGUAAACUUCUUUAGUAGGCGAGUAAGGAUAGGUACGUGUACCUAUUAGAAAGUAGCCUAAGAAUAAGUAUCGGCUAACUCCGUGCCAGCAGCCGCGGUAAUACGGAGGAUACGAGCGUUAUCCGGAUUUAUUGGGCGUAAAGCGAGCGCAGGCGGUUAGAAAAGUCUGAAGUGAAAGGCAGUGGCGCAACCAUUGUAGGCUUUGGAAACUGUUUAACUUGAGUGCAGAAGGGGAGAGUGGAAUUCCAUGUGUAGCGGUGAAAUGCGUAGAUAUAUGGAGGAACACCGGUGGCGAAAGCGGCUCUCUGGUCUGUAACUGACGCUGAGGAUCGAAAGCGUGGGGAGCGAACAGG